UUAAAUUCCUUACUGCGGGAGUCGUUUUUUAAAAAAGAGAUAAAAGAGAAAGAGACAUCCAACAUAAGAAGAGACCGCCAAGCGAUAACGAUUGCCGUGCUAAGUGGUGAAGUGUUACAACAUCACUAUUUAUACAUCUAAUGACGGUUUGUUCUGAACGUCGAUCAAUGAACACUUGUUUAAUUAUAUGUAUUUUAAAAUAUAUGAUAUGUGAUGGUGUGUAAGACCGGUCGCUCCCGAUCUCUUUGAUUCACCGUUUUAUUGGUCCCUGUGAUGUAAACAAACUUAUGUAUGUUGUGGUUCAGCCUGGCUCUACUCAUGGGUAGUCAAUACAGAAGGUACAUUAUAGAGGUAUUUAUUGUAAUCUACUGCUUUUUAACAUCGAAAGUAAGGAAAGUAGUACAAGAACAGUAUUAUAAAGAGUAAUAUGUAUAAAUGCCAUCGUCUACUUGCAGUUGUUCGUAAGUUCCAGGGGAGGUGUGCAGUGGCACUUCUGCUGUGCCUGGCUGUGUCCCGCCUGGUAACAGAUGUUCAGUAAUUACGAGGUUUACGAGUCAUGCGCGCAGUAAACCCGCCGCGCCUCACAAUGCUGGAUUUUAUUAAACAGCUGUAAAAUACCUAUAUGUAAUCAUGUACCGGUUUAUGGCUUCUAAAGGUUUUCGGUAACACAUCAAUCUGGUUGCUGUUGUUUAAGCUUACAUAAACAUUCUCAACCUUAUCCCUUGAGCCAUUGAGUUGUAUUUCAAGUGUAGGCUUGUGAGCCAGAGUUAUAUUUUCUGAAAUCGUCACCUUUCCUUUGUGAAGUUGGUUUUAUUAGUUUUUUUUUUGUGUUAAGUACGGUUUGUAUUUUAUGAUAUUAGUCGAUUGUUAGUUUUACGACUAUUGUUGCUAUGCUAUAUAAGAAAGUCGAUUUUGCAAUAAAAUGUGUCGGUUACUUGAAAUACGUCCCACACUGGGGGUACCUGCGGUAUACUUCAUAACCGAUUUAUUUUUUCGUAUAGACAACUGUUCUAUAAAUUAUAUAAGGUAUCCUAAAUCAUUUAAGCAGACAUUUCACACAUAAGAUUAUGUUGAAGUGUCACCCAGGAGGCAUGAAGAGGCCUCGGUUGCCAUAGCAACGCUGUUGCCAGCCCGCUCAGGUUUACGAUGACGACUCCCGCAGGAGAGCUGGCAGCUUGUUAGGAUUGGACGAUGAUUUUUAUAGUCGCGGGACUUAACGAGGUCACUUGCCACUUGAUAUAUAUUAUUGAUGACUUUGGACCUUUAUAUUUAGGGGAAGAAAAAUAAAGAACUCACGCUCACGAGGGCAGACGGUACAUGUUGAACUAGACUACUAGAGUGAUGGCUGCUUGUUUUGGCCAACUUUAACUUAAUUAUGUAAUAAUAAAAAAAAACAGUUCUAUAGCUUAAGAAAUCACUUAGAGCUGCUGGUCCUUCCGAAACCACGAGUAAUGAGGCUCUUUAUUUUUCAAAUUUAUUUAUUUUAUCAUACUUUAAGGUAGCGAGCAGCGAAGCGAAUUUUAACAUAGCGAAGAAUCAAUCAUUGUCUAUGACUCCCGUCGCCAUGGCAACCUGAUGAAAACGAAAAGAAGUUGGUCUGUAUCGGGCGCGACACGUUUUACGGAAAACGAAUAAAUAUGUGAUUUAAAAAGAUUAAAGAACGAGUGGAUACAUAAAUGAAUGAUAAUAACUAUGUAAAUGUCACGCAAGCGAGCCAGGUCUUGGAAGCUAUAACUGCUUUCGCUACUUAAUAAUAUAAGGCAAGUAUUAACCCAUUAAAUGAUUGAUUAUUUAAUUAACAAGUAACACAGAGAGAUCCAACCGAUUCCAGUGGUUCAUUUAAGUAUCAGAAAACAAGAAUUUAACAAGAAUAUUUUCGUGACAACUUAUUUCCAUUAUUUAGAACUUGACAUUGUUAUUGAUCGAUCUAUUUCAUCAUCACGUGGUACAUCCGUAGUACCAACUGACAUCUAUAAAACAAAUAUUAACUAACUCUCUUUCUUUGCUGCGAGGCUGUAAUAUAAUUAAAUGUUCCCUUUUUUUGCAUACGCUCUGGCAGCCGGGACGAGAUGGAUGGAUUGUGUGAACGAUGAUAUGCGGGAAAAGGAGCGAGUCACGAUGCGAUAAACAAGAUAAAUAGAUAUUAAAUGUACCUUGAGUAACCCAGAGCUGAGGAGACCGCCACACUACAUGAAACAUGUGGGAGAACUGGUAGGACCGCGGUAAGCCGGGUACAGGCACAUAAUGAUAGCGUCACAAUCAUAGCCCGACACUUUACAGGAUGAACCCCAAACUUGGCUAAAUCCCUGAUAUAUUACAGACAAUUUAUAAUCCCUCUAAAUAAUGGUGCGAUUACUCCAAGCCCUCACUAACUAACACGGAAUAGGAAUCGUCUCUUAAAUAUGCUCAGAAUUUGCAUACACAUGUUAUUCAUGCAGAUGCCAGCGUUUAGAAUAGAUAUGGUCUGAUUAGUCGGAGGCAGCGACGAGAAGAAACCAUGGGAGCUGGUAACGAGACUAUCUGAAACACUCGCAGCCGAGGAAUAGGAAUACUUCGUGCAGGCUGUACUACAGAUGGCUAGUUACGAGAACCUUCAUAAUGCGAUAUCUUCGUAGUUUCCAUGUAAAGUUGAUCUGCAAGCAGGUGGCAUCACGUCAGAACGAUCGAUACUCUUAACUUGGGAUUACUGUGCCAGAAAAAGGUAAUUAAAAGAUAAAACUU